rnacentral:rRNA from 1 species
UACGUAGGGUGCAAGCGUUACUCGGAAUUACUGGGCGUAAAGCGUGCGCAGGCGGUUGUGUAAGCCAGAUGUGAAAUCCCCGGGCUCAACCUGGGAACUGCAUUUGUGACUGCACAGCUGGAGUGCGGCAGAGGGGGAUGGAAUUCCGCGUGUAGCAGUGAAAUGCGUAGAUAUGCGGAGGAACACCGAUGGCGAAGGCAAUCCCCUGGGCCUGCACUGACGCUCAUGCACGAAAGCGUGGGGAGCAAACAGG